rnacentral:tRNA from 1 species
UGGGAAUAUAGGUCAGUUGGUAGAGUGCUUGCCUUGCAUGCACAAGACCCUGGGUUCAAUCCCCAGCACAA